CCCGGGCCUUGUACACACCGCCCGUCAAGUCACGAAAGUUGGUAACACCCGAAGCCGGUGGCCUAACCCCUUGUGGGAGGGAGCUGUCGAAGGUGGGACUGGCGAUUGGGACU
rnacentral:rRNA from 1 species